UUAAACAAAUAUAUACAUACAUAAAAGAAAUGUAUAAACUCAGAAAUUAGUCAUCAAUAUUUUACUUCACCAGCAAAAACGUCACAGUGUGAUUUAGCUUU